rnacentral:rRNA from 1 species
UACGUAGGGGGCAAGCGUUGUCCGGAAUUAUUGGGCGUAAAGCGCGCGCAGGCGGCUUUGUAAGUCUGGUGUUUAAUCUCGGGGCUCAACCCCGAUUCGCAUUGGAAACUGCAAGGCUUGAGUGCAGAAGAGGAAAGUGGAAUUCCACGUGUAGCGGUGAAAUGCGUAGAUAUCUGGAGGAACACCGGUGGCGAAGGCGGCAUCCUGGACCGGCAUUGACGCUGAGGCGCGAAAGCCAGGGGAGCAAACGGG